rnacentral:misc_RNA from 1 species
AAAAAAAAGUCCAAUUAGUAAUGACAAUAAUGCUUCUGAAUUAUUUGGUCAUAUGCUGCAUCCUUUUGUGAACACUUUAUGUUUUUGAGAUGAUUUUCUACCAAGUCUGUUAUUAUAAUUGGUUUCUCCACCCUGUCAUUGGAGUCUUUUGCUUGCAUCAUAUAAUUGAUUUUUGUAGCAUUGCUUAUUCUUUUGCAGUCAUGAAUAUUUCUAAUCCCAUGAUGUUACAUGGGAAUUAUGAUUCAUCCACAUUACUGGGUUGUGUAGGGUCUGAAAUCUGAGUUGGAGAA